ACAAGGUGACCUGCUAUCGCCAUAUCUCUUCCUCUUAUGCCCUGAGGGUCUGUCCUCUUUAUUAAGAAAAUUUUAGGAUCAAUAGUUAAAUACAUAGGUGUUGAGUUUUUAGGAGAGCUCCUUCGGUUUCACAUCUUUUUCUCGCGGAUGAUAGCCUACUAUUUCUUAAGGCUAACAAGGAGGAAUAUGGCAGAAUCAAAGAGUGUCUAA
rnacentral:misc_RNA from 1 species